rnacentral:rRNA from 1 species
GACGAACGCUGGCGGCGUGCUUAACACAUGCAAGUCGAACGGAAAGGCCCUGCUUUUGUGGGGUGCUCGAGUGGCGAACGGGUGAGUAACACGUGAGUAACCUGCCCUUGACUUUGGGAUAACUUCAGGAAACUGGGGCUAAUACCGGAUAGGAGCUCCUGCUGCAUGGUGGGGGUUGGAAAGUUUCGGCGGUUGGGGAUGGACUCGCGGCUUAUCAGCUUGUUGGUGGGGUAGUGGCUUACCAAGGCUUUGACGGGUAGCCGGCCUGAGAGGGUGACCGGCCAUAUUGGGACUGAGAUAAGGCGCAGACUCCUACGGGAGGCAGCAGUGGGGAAUAUUGCACAAUGGGCGGAAGCCUGAUGCAGCAACGCAGCGUGCGGGAUGACGGCCUUCGGGUUGUAAAACGCUUUCGCCUGUGACGAAGCGUGAGUGACGGUAAUGGGUAAAGAAGCACCGGCUAACUACGUG